rnacentral:lncRNA from 1 species
UAUGUUGCCAUUUCUAGAGUCACCUUUUAAGAAAAUUAUAUACAUAGAGAGAGAGUCCGGUUACUAUACAAGUAUAAAUCUUUUUGUACUUAUAAGUUUUCGACAGUUAAAUCUACUCAUUUGACCAUUUUCAUCCCUUUGUACUCAUAAGUUUUCGACUGUAAGAUUUACCUCUUUGAUCAUUUUCAUCUGUUAAAUCAUAAUAUUAAACUAACUAUGCACUCAACUCAGAGGAACUACUAUCAUCGUAACUGUACAUCUUUUCAUCUAAUGGUCAAAAACUUAUGAGUAUAAAAAAUCUAUACUUAUAAAAGUAUAGUAGUCAUAUUCUUUCUCACUCUAUAUAUUUACAUAUAUAUAUAUAUACUAGUUGAGUGUACAUGUAAAAGCAUGUAACAAUUAUUUUAAUUUAUUUCAAAUCAUUAGAAAUUUGUAUAUCAUAUUUAUUUAAAAAUUUAGAAUAAAAAUUAUAUUUUAUAAAUUUAUAUGUUAUAUUUUAUUAGAAAAUAUCUGUAAUAUAGUUUUUUUUAUAUAUAUUAAAUAUUUUUAUAUAAUUUUUGAUUUUUGAUGAAUCUAAAAUUUAAGGAUGUAUUUUAAACUAAAAACAUCAAAAUUUAAUUCAUAUUUGCUUAAAAAUUUAAAAUUUAAUUUUAAUCCACUAUUUAGUUAAAAUUUUUACUUAUUAAUUCAAAUUUGAUAUCAAAAAUUAAAUUUAAUUCAUAAUUUAAACUCAAGUUGUAAUUUUAAUGUAAAAAUAGAUAGAUAUAAAUGCUAUUUUUUAACAAAUUAAUCAUACCCUUUUAUUUUUAUUUGAGAUAUUUUUAACAAAUUGAUCAUAAUCAUUCGUAUAAUUGAAUUUAUGUAGUUGGAUAUGAAUGUUUUUUUUAACAGAUUGAUCAUAAUCGUUUGUUUUUAUUUAAGAUAUUUUUUAACAAAUUAAUCAUAAUCGUUCGUAGAGAAUAUUUUUUUAUUACUUUUUGAUUCCGUCUGUCAUUUCUAUACGCUUUUAUAUAUACUAGUUGAAUGUACGUGCAAAUGCACAUAACAAUUAUUAUAAUUUAUUUCAAAUCAAUAUAAAUUUGUACAUUUUAUAUAUCCAAAAUUUUACAAUAAAAAUUAAUUUAUAAAUUAAUGUGUUAUAUUUUAUUAGAAAAUAUUUAUAAUAUCCUACCGUGUUCUUUUAUUUAUAUACAUCGAAUAUUUUUAUAUACUUUUUAAUUUUUGAUGAAUCAAAUUUAAAUAUGUAUUUUAAACUAAAAGUAUCAAAAUUUAAUUCACAUUUAAUUUAAAAUUUAAAAUUUAAUUUUGAUCCACGGUAAUAAAAAAAUUAAUUAUUAAUUCAAAUUUGAUAUCAAAAAAUUAAGUUUAAUUCAUAAUUUAAAUUCAAAUUUUAAUUUUAAUAUAAAAUAUAUUAAUAGAAAUGCUAUUUUUUAACAAAUUGAUCAUAACCGGUUGUUUUAAUUUAAGAUAUUUUUUAACAAAUUGAUUAUAAUAGGAUUGAAUUUAUAGAUGGAUGCGAAUACUAUUUUUUAAUAGAUUGAUUAUAACUGUUCUUAUCGGAAUCCUAUACGCUUUUAUAUAUAUAGUAUAGAUAUAUAUAUAUAUAUAUAUAUAUAUAUAUAUAUGAAUGAAAUUAAGCUUCUAUGCUUUUAAAAGUAGCAAAUUAUUAGUUCUUGUAAACUUUUUGCCAUAAAAUUAAGGAAUGUAUAGUUAGAAUGAUAUGAAAUUUUUAAAAUUGAGUGAGUGAUUGAUUGAAUAGUAUGAUGUAAUGGAUUAAAAUGAUUAAAGGAGUAAAUCUAACGAANAAAAAAA